UUGACUGCGUUUGGGUCGGUCCGCACUAUCAAGAGAGCUAUCCGUCGACAGUAUUGUUUAUAAACUGUCAUGGAGUUGCUCUCUUUAUGGACGGGCUGCAUUGCGACCUCCUCCGAG
rnacentral:pre_miRNA from 12 species